rnacentral:lncRNA from 1 species
AUUAAGUAGAAAUGUCAAGGUAUUAUAUGAAUCAAAUUAUGAUAGAGAAUACCUAAAUUAGCAGUAAAGAUUUUUUGUAUCAUUGAAAAGCGAAAAUAUGUACAGUUUAGGAUUUUUAUAGAAUGAUUAUAAACUCUAUCUCAUGGAUCGUUUAUUGGCUGUAACUAUGACUUUGUCCAUGGGGGACGAUGUGAAUCAUAAAUAUGAAUGUAACUAUGACUUUGUCACUAGGGGG